rnacentral:rRNA from 1 species
AUUGAACGCUGGCGGCAUGCCUUACACAUGCAAGUCGAACGGUAACGGGCCUUCGGGUGCCGACGAGUGGCGAACGGGUGAGUAAUACAUCGGAACGUGCCCGAUCGUGGGGGAUAACGAGGCGAAAGCUUUGCUAAUACCGCAUACGAUCUACGGAUGAAAGCAGGGGACCGCAAGGCCUUGCGCGGUCGGGGCGGCCGAUGGCAGAUUAGGUAGUUGGUGGGAUAAAAGCUUACCAAGCCGACGAUCUGUAGCUGGUCUGAGAGGAUGAUCAGCCACACUGGGACUGAGACACGGCCCAGACUCCUACGGGAGGCAGCAGUGGGGAAUUUUGGACAAUGGGCGCAAGCCUGAUCCAGCCAUGCCGCGUGCAGGAUGAAGGCCUUCGGGUUGUAAACUGCUUUUGUACGGAACGAAAAGCCUUCUUUUAAUACAGGAGGGUCAUGACGGUACCGUAAGAAUAAGCACCGGCUAACUACGUG